GUGUAAAUCAGACAGGACACCCCACCGACAAUUAACACCAAUGAACAAAAAGUAGUAACUUAACAAGAAAACCCUACUACACCAUAUGUUAACCUAACACCAGAGCAUUACAAGAAAGAUUUAAAGAAAGAGAAGGAACUCGGCAAAUAUUAACCUCGCCUGUUUACCAAAAACAUCGCCUCUUGAAAACAUAAGAGGUCCAGCCUGCCCAGUGACUCUGUUCAACGGCCGCGGUAUCCUAACCGUGCGAAGGUAGCGUAAUCACUUGUUCUUUAAAUGAGGACUAGUAUGAACGGCACCACGAAGGUUAUACUGUCUCCUCUUUCCAAUCAGUAAAACUAAUCUCCCCGUGAAGAAGCGAGGAUGAACAUAUAAGACGAGAAGACCCUAUGGAGCUUCAAACUACACAACACCUGCUUUAAUUCAAUUAACUUCCAGAAAAACCCCCUCCACCCCAGCAGGAUGAUUGGCAGUUUUAGGUUGGGGUGACCGCGGAGCAUAAAACAACCUCCUCAUUGAAAGGAACCCACUCCUUAGCCAAGAGCUACGCCUCCACGCACCAAUAAAAUGACAUUAAUUGACCCAAUAUAUUGAUCA
rnacentral:rRNA from 1 species